rnacentral:rRNA from 1 species
UACGUAGGGUGCAAGCGUUAAUCGGAAUUACUGGGCGUAAAACGUGCGCAGGCGGUUGUGUAAGUCAGAUGUGAAAUCCCCGGGCUCAACCUGGGAAUUGCAUUUGAGACUGCACGGCUAGAGUGUGUCAGAGGGGGGUAGAAUUCCACGUGUAGCAGUGAAAUGCGUAGAGAUGUGGAGGAAUACCGAUGGCGAAGGCAGCCCCCUGGGAUAACACUGACGCUCAUGCACGAAAGCGUGGGGAGCAAACAGG